rnacentral:rRNA from 1 species
CCUACGGGUGGCAGCAGUGGGGAAUAUUGCACAAUGGGGGGAACCCUGAUGCAGCGACGCCGCGUGGGUGAAGGAGUCCUUCUGUGCGUAAAGCCCUAUCAGCAGGGAAGAAAAUUGCGGUACCUGUCUGAUCAUCCCCGGCCAACUACGUUCCCGCCGCCCCGGUAACACGCAGGGGGCCACCGUUAUCCGGAUUUUCUGGGUGUAAAGGGGGCUUAGGAGGCAGGGCAAGUCCGGAGUGAAAGUCCGGGGCCCAACCGUGGGACUGCUGUGGAAACCGGCAGGCUGGAGUGCGGGAGGGGCAGGCGGAAUUCGUGGUGUAGCGGUGAAAUGCUUAGAUAUCAGGAGGAACACCGGUGGCGAAGGCGGCCUGCUGGACUGCAACUGACGUUGAGGCUCGAAAGCGUGGGUAGCAAACAGGAUUAGAUACCCGAGUAGUC